rnacentral:lncRNA from 1 species
AUUCUAUCAUUAUAAAAUAUUGUAUUAAAUGUAUAAUGUUUGGUUCGUCGCUCAAAAUAAUAGUCACUCUAUAUAUGCUGCAGCAUUGGUUGGUCACAUAAGAAGAAAAAAAUCUCAGUAUUAACUUCAGGGGGUAAACUAUGUAUUAAGCAUAUUUUAGCUAGGAUGCUCAACUCAACAUCCUUCCAAUAUCCAAGUCUUCGCAAGAUCUUCUGAAUGUUAUAUUCCAUGUAUCUCUUUC